ACGGGUGAGUAACGCGUGGGUAACCUGCCUUAUACAGGGGGAGUAACAGUCAGAAAUGGCUGCUAAUACCGCAUAAGCGCACAGAGCUGCAUGGCUCAGUGUGAAAAACUACCGGUGGUAUAAGAUGGACCUGCGUUGGAUUAGCUAGUUGGUGGGGUAACGGCCCACCAAGGCGACGAUCCAUAGCCGGCCUGAGAGGGUGAACGGCCACAUUGGGACUGAGACACGGCCCAGACUCCUACGGGAGGCAGCAUG
rnacentral:rRNA from 1 species